CUGCAGAGAAAUGUUACAAGUAUGUAUGUUGUAUGUAAUCACCAUAAUUGGUCAAAUUUAUUUGUGCUUUGUUAAGCAUAGUUACCAGCAACUACCUUAAUUAAAGUAACAAUACAACAAUGGUCUCUACUUUUUUAAGGUCAAAUUGACACUUACCAAGCUAGACAAAUGAAUAAUUUAAGAGCAAUAUCCUCAUUUAAGG
rnacentral:misc_RNA from 1 species